rnacentral:misc_RNA from 1 species
ACAAACUUGGUCAUUUAGAGGAAGUAAAAGUCGUAACAAGGUCUCCGUUGGUGAACCAGCGGAGGGAUCAUUACCGAGUCCUUUGACUUCAAACCCAUCGUGCAUCCUACCUCGCGCGCUCCGGCGGGUCGCCGCAGCGCCGCUCUCCUUUUUUUGCGAGGGAGCGGCCUGGCGCCCGGCCGCGGCCAGGGAGUCUUUCUCCCUGACCCGGCGCUCGCCGGCGCCAUCGUUUUUCUUCUUCGCGCACCGAUGCCUCUCUGAGUGGAUGCACACAAACGCGUCAAAACUUUCAACAACGGAUCUCUUGGCUCCGGCAUCGAUGAAGAACGCAGC